AACUGCGUGGAUUAGAUACCCGGGUAGUCCACGCCCUAAAUGGUGGAUACUAGACAUGGGGGGUAUCGACCCCCUCUGUGUCGUAGUUAACGCGUUAAGUAUCCCGCCUGGGGAGUACGGCCGCAAGGCUAAAACUCAAAGGAAUUGACGGGGGCCCGCACAAGCAGCGGAGCGUGUUGUUCAAUUCGAUGACAAGCGAAGAACCUUACCAGGGCUUGACAUGUUUCCGACAGUCCCCGAAAGGGGUACUU
rnacentral:rRNA from 1 species